GACGAACGCUGGCGGCGUGCUUAACACAUGCAAGUCGAACGGUGAAGCGCCUUCCUUUUUGGUGGGUGUGGAUGAGUGGCGAACGGGUGAGUAACACGUGAGUAACCUGCCCCCUUCUUCUGGAUAACCGCAUGAAAGUGUGGCUAAUACGGGAUAUUCUGGGUCUGUCGCAUGAUGGGUCUGGGAAAGAUAUUGUUUCGGUGGGGGAUGGGCUCGCGGCCUAUCAGCUUGUUGGUGGGGUGAUGGCCUACCAAGGCGGUGACGGGUAGCCGGCCUGAGAGGGUGGACGGUCCCACUGGGAAGGAGACACCGCCCAGACUCCGACGGGAGGCAGCAGGGGGGAAUAUUGGACAAGGGGCGCAAGGCUGAUGCAGCGACGCCGGGGGAGGGAUGGAGGCCUUCGGGUUGUGAACCUCUUUCGCCAGUGAAGCAGGGCUGCCUCGUUUGUGGGUGGGUUGACGGUAGCUGGAUAAGAAGCGCCGGCUAACUACGUG
rnacentral:rRNA from 1 species